rnacentral:rRNA from 1 species
GCAUAUCUAUAAGCGGAGGAAAAGAAACCAACAGGGAUUACCUCAGUAACGGCGAGUGAAGCGGUAAAAGCUCAAAUUUGAAAUCUGGCUCUUUCAGAGUCCGAGUUGUAAUUUGUAGAAGAUGCUUCGGGUGUGGUUCCGGUCUAAGUUCCUUGGAACAGGACGUCAUAGAGGGUGAGAAUCCCGUAUGUGACUGGAUACCUAUGCUCAUGUGAAGCUCUUUCGACGAGUCGAGUUGUUUGGGAAUGCAGCUCAAAAUGGGUGGUAUAUUUCAUCUAAAGCUAAAUAUUGGCCAGAGACCGAUAGCGCACAAGUAGAGUGAUCGAAAGAUGAAAAGCACUUUGGAAAGAGAGUUAAACAGUACGUGAAAUUGUUGAAAGGGAAGCGCUUGCAAUCAGACUUGCACUUGGUGUUCAUCAGGGUUUCGUGCCCUGUGUACUUCAUCAAGUUCAGGCCAGCAUCAGUUUGAGUGGUUAGAUAAAGGCUUGGAGAAUGUGGCCCUCUUCGGGGGGUGUUAUAGCUCCAGGUGCAAUGUAGCCUACUUGGACUGAGGACCGCGCUUCGGCUAGGAUGCUGGCGUAAUGGUUGUAAGCGACCCGUCUUGAAACACGGACCAAGGAGUGUACCUAAUAUGCGAGUGUUUGGGUGUUAAACCCAUACGCGUAAUGAAAGUGAACGCUGGUGAGAACCCUUAAGGGUGCAUCAUCGACCGAUCUUGAUGUCUUCGGAUGGAUUUGAGUAAGAGCAUAUUGGGUGCGACCCGAAAGAUGAUGAUCUAUACGUGAAUAGGGUGAAGCCAGAGGAAACUCUGGUGGAGGCUCGCAGCGGUUCUGACGUGCAAAUCGAUCGUCAAAUUUGCGUAUAGGGGCGAAAGACUAAUCGAAUCAUCUAGUAGCUGGGUUCCUGCGA